ACCCACAAACUGCGAGAUCACGACCUGAGCUGAAGUCGGAAGCUUCACCGACUGAGCCACCCAGGCGCCUGGCUUAAUUGGCUUCUAAAGUAAAUACGCUUUCCCAUCACGUUGUGACUAUCUGCUCCAAGAGUCCUGCUUUUUACAAAGUGAAUUUUCUUAUCUCCAAGGCUUUAGGUGUCUUUCUCUUCUACUUUACUGGAGGGGGGGAGCCCCCCAAAACAACAUGCAGCCAAGCCUCCAGUGGCUCUCAAGAGGGCCAGAUCAGGGCUCCCAGGCACCUGUAAUAAGAACUCUUUGCCCUUCCCCCCAACUUGAAUGUCCCUUCGGAGAAAAGAUCACAGUGUGCCUUCGGGGUCAGGUAUGAGGAUUACGCGGAUAGUUGGUUCUCCAACCUGAUCAACCUUGGACUCCAUAGACGGUGUCCAUCCAGCGGCUGGUCAGGAUGACAGCCCAGAUGCAGAACCAGCGGGGAACACGGUGUCCCCACCCUCCGUUCCGCUGGGAAGACGGCUGAGGCAAAUCAAACAGGAAAAACGGCUGCAUUUGCUCAUAAGGAACAAGGAACAUUUUGCUAUUGAAGACCGGAGGUGACUGUAGUGGCUUCUCCAUUUGAAGGGCACUGGCAUCACUCAUUUCCACGGGAAAACGAAUUCCCUCCUGCUCAGUGGAGCUGGGGGGACCGAAGAUUUGCUGUCCCUGGCAUUUGUCGUCACCUGAGGUGGGUGGCCUUGUGCUUAGGGGGUGUGUGGGAGCUUCUGGCUGAGCAGAGGCAGGAGCAGGCCUGGAACUGAGUAGGGGCCCAGGGGGCAGCUACAUUGUCUGAGAAAUUACAGAACGGAGUCAAAGGGUAGGGGCAAAGGAAGUUCAGAAAUGGAGAAGUACGGCCUUGGGAAAGAACUGGCGGGGGGUGGGGGUGGCCAUGAUGGACAAGAUGCAGAUGCCGUGGAGAAAACUGCCCGGUGAGAAGUUUCCAACAUGGGGGAUUCACAUCACUGAUGUCAUUUGUACCUUCUCCAGGUGCUGAUCCUGAGAAUACUCCCUACCGAACUUCAGCGGCUGAUCUCCAUCUCAGAGUGUGCUUCCCAGAGAACCCAACCUGGGACACCUCCAAUGACACCACUCUCCAGAAGAGUUAGACAGAUGCCCUCAAAGGAGCCAUCCUGCUGUCCCCAGCUAUUGUUAGGAGAUGUGAAGCCACGUCUAACUCCUGCCUCGUUCUGCCUUCUCAGGCCACUCAUAAAUAGGUGGCUGAGAGAAGGGAAGGAGAAAUCAAGUCCCUGAUACUCACUGCCCAGGAACGACCACCACGCGUCUCACAGAAAGGCGUUGGAGAUGCCAUUGUUGCCAACAUCUCAAUUAACAACAUCUUCGCUGAAAUUACUUUUUGGCCUAAAUCACUUGGAUACAAAGAAUAUUAAAUGGUUGCCUUGCUCAAAAGUAUUUAUUAUGGAAAUAAUGUUAUUCCUUCUGCUACCCGCCCAGGUAGACCACAUACGUACUGGGGCGAGAAGAGCAGGUGUCUCCUCCCAGGACAAAGACAAGCACGGGACCAGAAAUGUCUGUCUUAAAUGCCACUGGCUCCAUGGGUCUUGCUUCUUGUGUUCACCGCUGUGCCUGGCACAGAACCUGGCACUCGAUAGGAGUGCCUUAUGAAGGAUUCACUUAAUUCAAGAGAGAAAGAAGGAGAGAUCCCAUCUUUGCCAUGAACCUCUUAUUGGCGCCCUGACCAGGAUGUCAUAUAUUCUAACCUGGAACCUUGAGCUCUUUGCUGGAAGCUAUUCUGUGUUCCUCUUUGUCUCCCUGCUCCCUGUCAAUGAGUCUGGUACACAGUAAGUGCUCCGGAAGGUAUGACUUGAGUGAAUGAAAGAAAGUUCUGCAGAUCAAGGGUAGUGUGCGAUCACCUAUUGCUGGGUAACAACCAACAUCAAAUCUUAGCAGCUCCAAUGGCCACCAUUACCUGCUCACCAUUCUGGGCUCAGCUGGGCAGUCCUCUGGGGGGUUACUCAUGAAGCUAUAGGGUCUGAGAAGGCCUCAUGCAAAUGUAUGGGGCUUCCAGCCAGGGAGCCUCAGCUCUCUUCCAUAUGACGUCUCUGGCAGACAAGGAUAGACGCCCAUGUAGCUGUGCUUCUGAAGCCUCUGCCUGGGUCACCUGUGCUGGUGCACAUAGGCCAGUGUGAGCCACUGGGAGAUGACCCAGGUCCUAGAUGCAGGGAGGAGAGAUUUAUUAGAGGCCACGAAUCACGUCACCUCUCAUGACCUACCAUGGGCACAUCAUCCCAGGUUUAGCCACUUGGGGCCAGAAUUCUGGAAGGAUUAUUCUUCCAGGGGUUCCCAGGUGACUGGAUCUUGGAUUUAGGUAUUUCAGAAGCAGUAAAACAACAACAUAACAAUUCGGGAAUAGUCGGGCAAAACCCUGCAGAGGAUCUACGUGCACACGCCCACAGUGGCAGCAGGUACAGAUGGCCUGGGGUGGGAGUUGCCACAAUGGUGGCCUGGACAACCUCCUCCUCUGAACUUAGCUCAGGAGUUCCAUCCCCUCCUGAUCCUCUAGGGGUAGUGGGCCUGGCCACCUAGAUUGGCAGCUGGGGGCAACUAUGCCAACAACUAGGCCUGGGGGCAGGAAGCCGUGAAUGAAGGGAUCAGAAGAAGAGGUGCGGGGACAGGUCUGGGAGCUGGAACCAGAAAGGUCUCAGCCAUACCCUUGGCUGCUGAAUUGGUCAGCCGAGGACACUGGCUGCUCUCCAUCCCCCAUAUACCCCAGUGCUUGGCCCACCGUGUACCCUGGAACCUCAGAGCUCGGCACCCAGGUCCUCUCUCCACUCAUCUUUUGGAACCCCUGACUGUCAUGCUCUGAGUAAUUAGUAAAAUUAGUUUGCCAUAAUUA